CCCGCUCAGAAACUCAAUGAAUUGACGGGGCCCGCACAAGCGGUGGAGUAUGUGGUUUAAUUCGAUGCAACGCGAAGAACCUUACCUGGUCUUGACAUCCCGGAGACCCUUAGGAAACUAGGGGGUGCUUCCAUCUGGAAGAAUCUGGAGACAGGUGCUGCAUGGCUGUCGUCAGCUCGUGUCGUGAGAUGUUGGGUUAAGUCCCGCAACGAGCGCAACCCUUGCCUUUAGUUGCCAGCAGUUCGGCUGGGCACUCUAAAGGGACUGCCGGUGUUAAACCGGAGGAAGGUGGGGAUGACGUCAAGUCCUCAUGGCCUUUAUGACCAGGGCUACACACGUACUACAAUGGCCGAUACAAAGGGCAGCGACACUGCGAGGUGAAGCCAAUCCCGUAAAAUCGGUCUCAGUCCGGAUUGGAGUCUGCAACUCGACUCCAUGAAGUUGGAAUCGCUAGUAAUCGUGGAUCAGCAUGCCACGGUGAAUACGUUCCCGGGCCUU
rnacentral:rRNA from 1 species